rnacentral:tRNA from 1 species
GGUUCUAUGGUGUAAUGGUUAGCCCUCUGGACUCUAUAUCAAGUGAUCUGAGUUCAAAUAUCAGUAAGACCU